rnacentral:rRNA from 1 species
UACAGAGGGGGCAAGCGUUAUUCGGAAUUAUUGGGCGUAAAGGGCGCGUAGGCGGCCUGGCAAGCGGAAGGUGAAAUCCCUCGGCUUAACCGAGGAACUGCCCUCCAAACUGCUUGGCUUGAGUCCGGGAGAGGUGAGUGGAAUUCCCAGUGUAGCGGUGAAAUGCGUAGAUAUUGGGAGGAACACCAGUGGCGAAGGCGGCUCACUGGACCGGAACUGACGCUGAGGCGCGAAAGCGUGGGGAGCAAACGGG